rnacentral:rRNA from 1 species
AGUCAAGAGUACGUGAAACCGUUCGGGGGUAAACCUGAGAAACCCGAAAGGUCGAAGGCCGAGAUACAGCGUCCGUCGUCGCGGGUGCUGCGGCGACGGCGUGCACUUCUCGGCCGGCAGGACGUCGCGACCCGUUGGGAGUCGCCGACGCUUUACGGGAGCGCGCGGGAAGCUCGGGACGGCGCGGCGAGAUCUCGGUCUCGCCCGCGGCCGCUCGAACCCGUCGCGUUCUCCUCGCGCUCGGCGCGCCCGACGUGACAUUCAAACACAGAACGAGGCGUUCGUUCGGCGGUGCGCACGACCGGCGCGCUCGGACGCCGCCUUCGACCCCCGACCUUCGGGUCGCGGGGUAGGGACGGCGUUCUCGGGCGUGUGCGCGCGUUCGCGCGCGCUCACACCGACGUCCGAUCGUCAGCGACGCUUUUGCUUUGGGCGUUUUCAGGACCCGUCUUGAAACACGGACCAAGGAGUCCAACGUGCGCGCGAGUCAAUGGGAGCACAAGCUAAACCCAAAGGCGAAGCGAAAGCGAAGGACGGAGAGCUCGUCUUCGGGCGAGCCCUUCCGGCCCGUAGGGAGGAUGGGCGUCGCACAGUAGUCGCCCCGCACUCCCGGGGCGUCUCCGCCAGGCAUCGUCGUCGACGCUCGCGUUUUCGACGGUGCCGGAGGCGCACCUCUAGCGCGCACGCUGGGACCCGAAAGUGGGG